UUUUUUUUUUUUUUUUUUUGACCCUGACACUGUCCCUGGGCAGAGAAUUACUCUGUCAGUGUCCAGAUGAGAUACUGAGCUUCCAGGAUUUAAAUCUUUGACUUACCUUUGCUCUCAGUGAUAUGAUUAAGCCAAGAUUAUUUAACUCAAGCCCCAAUGAGUCAUUCCAAACACCUUGAAUCAUUCUGAGAGACCUGACAAAUUUUCUGCUGAGUUACUGCCUUGGAGAAUUCUUUGCAUGACUAGUUGAACAUUGGAUGUCUGCAUGCCUUAUGAUUUAUAGCUUAUCAUCAUCUGGGCACAUGUCUGACCCAAUGGGCACACCCGUUUUAUUUCCACAGAGAAGAAAUAUCUUUGGUAUUAAAUGAGUAGGUGCCAAUUGGUGCUAAAGUGUAGGUCAGUGGAGCAGGGCAUAGAGUAUGUUACCAUUUGUGUCUGGGGAAAUAUAUACCUUCCAUUUACAGAAAAAAGGAUAGAUAUAGGUUAAGAUAUGGAUAUGGGCAGAGACAUACAUCUAGGCAGACACAGACAUAGAUACUAACGUAUAGAUACAUAGAAAUUUACCCACAAAAAAUUGGUCGAAGAGGUUACCUCUGGGGAAGAAAAUCAGGUAUCUCGGAGCGAUGAGGAGUAGCUAAGACUUUUCACCACCUAUCCUUAUGUAACUUUUGAAUUUUUCUUCAUGUGCUUGUAUUGCCUAUUCACAAAUAAUUUUUAUAUUAAAAAUAAUGAAAGUUAAAUUCAAGCAUUUCAUUGGGGAUGUGGUGACACUUUCCAGUCACCUUAUGGAAAUAUUCAGGGUUGAUCAUAUGAGGGAUUGGUAAUUCCAAGGUGGUUUGGUAACAUUCUGAAUUAUACAAACUUUUAAUUUUGUGAUAUGUCAUCCACAUCCAGUAUGCCCUUGUAUGAAAUCAGUACUCUGUUUUGGUUGUAGGGGACUACGUUUCCCAGGUUUCUUCAGUUUCCAUCUAGAUUUCAAUCUAGGUUCAGCCAAUGGAAGGCAAAGGCCCUAGAAUGAAGGAUGGAAGGAAGAAAGAAACCAGGGUAUUGUUCUCUAUUUUCUGUGUUAUUUCCAGCACCAAUUAUAAGUCUCAGCUCCAGCUAGGAAGCCUCUACUCUGGUUCUAGUUCCUACUGGAUGACCCUGGCUUCUGGACAUUGGUAAUUCCACUUCCUCUUAUUGUCCUUCCAGUGUCAAGGUGGGAACAGCUUCCUACUGUUGCUAAUCUCUGGACUUCCUCUUUGGAUUCCAUGUUUGGCUUCUCAGUCCUUCCAUUUCCUAGGGAAUCAAUUCUCUAUAUUAAAUUUCCUCUGUUGGAAAAGCCUGGAGGGGCUUCUGUUUUUUCUUUUACCAGGGAACUCCUACAGAUGCACAUUUUCUAUUUCUUGCUUUGCAAUCCCUUACCCUCAGAACUCUUUCAAAUAAUAUAUGAUCUUGGAUUCAGACUGAAGAACUCCCAACUCAAGGAGCGUGCAGUAUUUUACACUCCACCCCUGUAAUUUCACAACCACCAUUUUUUAUCAUUGCCCAAUGCUGUAGAUGGCUUUUUCAAUGACACCACUUGUAGACACACACUUAAGAAUAAUAGCCUCUGCAUUCCUUUCAGAACCAGAACACUUAGGGCAUUAAAUGUGGAAAUCCCUCUGGUCAGACCUUUUAGUCUGACUCUGGCCUAGCUAUGGAAAUUCAGAUUCAGAGCUUCUUCUUGACGGAGAUUUUAGGGAGAAAUGACCAUGUGGUGCUCAAAUACAGAUUCUCCAUUUCUCAGCUGGCUUUUUUUCAAGCUCUUCUUGCAUAAGAAAUCAAAAAUCCCAUUUCCCCUGUUCCUCAGGAAAGACAAUAUUCUUGACCAAACCAGUGGCCUUUAUUUAGAGAUCACCAGCCCAUCUCUUGUCACCACAGGGUUCUCGCGAAAGUUUAGCCCAAGCCUAACUACUCCAGGUGAUUUAUAGGUUCAUGAGAAUUUUCUAACAAAUUAUUGUAAUUCAUCAGAAAUGAUUGGGUUUUCUCAAUUCAUAAGUUAUUCAAAUUCUGUGCUGGCCGGGGCGAGAGCCUUAUCGUUUCUCAUGAUGACAGGCAGUGUCUGACUCAAGGGGUCUGACUUGCACAUGGCUCUCACAUCACUGCCCUUCUGGACUUUGUGGGACCCCGCCCUUCCUCACUGGCCCUGUACCUGAUGCUCCUUUCUUCCACCUGCUGUGCGGCAAGUGUGUUAAUUCCCUUCUUCCCUCACAAUCCGCUCCCCUGAUGCUGAUCCAAUCCUUCGACUCCUAAUCACAUCAAUUUGGAGCAAUCGUGAACUCCUGCACCCCGCCACCUUCAGCCAUAUAAUCCAUCCCCAUCCCUAUCCCUCUACUUUUAGCCUUUGCCACCUCUCCUUUACCGGACCUGUUAAUGCCUCACAUAUGGCCUCAUCUUACCACCCAAAGUCCUAUCCUUCCAACAAAGUGCCCUUAGCCCUGACCAUCCACACUAUCCCUGAUACAGAAGUAAAUAACCCCAGCUAUUAAAUGUCCCAUCUCCAUUCAAUGACCUUGUGAAGAUCCUGGUGUCUAUCCCUCCUAGUCCUAUAACUGCUCCACCCUAAUCUUCACCUCCCUUGUCAAAUCUCCCAAGUUAUCAAUUGUUACCCUUGGCCUGACCUGUCAGAGGUGUAGGAACAUAUUUACUGGGAUGCCAAGAAAGUUUAAACUCCAGGGGUCCUCACACAGCUCCCUUCCCAGGUCUCAUAUCUAAUGCAAUUUUCAUAGUGGUAUAUUCUUCUAACAGCCUUCAGGCCACCACAAAACCUGGCCCUGCCCCUGUUUGGAUGAUCACUCCCUUGAUUAUCUUGGAAUUAGGGGAAUGUUCCCACUCUAUCUGCCUGCUGCUUCUAGGGGAUAAAAAAAGUGCUUCUAGAACCACAAAUUGAACUUUGCAUGCCCUCAACCUUAGACACAGUGUUAAACCUAGUGGUUAGCUUUAAUUAUAUGGCUGGUGCUUUGUUUCAGCUACUUUUUUAGAUUAAACAGGUUUUUGCUGAUUGGCUUUGGAAACCAACCACUGAACAAGUGACUUGUAAACAAACUUCUGGAAUGUAAGCCAUUUCUAAAUUGCAGGCUUUGGGGACUUAACAUUAACAAAAGCCCAUAAACCACGUGUGGAAACCUAUGUAUAAAUACCGACAUUUUGUCACAUGAAAAAAGUUACUCAUUAAAUUCAAUCAAAAGAUGUAGCAAAAUUGGUAAUAUCCAACAAGUCAUGAUGUGUAACUACAGCCAUCAGUCAUCUGUACUUUCUGGGGCAGUUUCCAUUUUAAAUGUUCUGCUCUAUGAUCACCCUGUAUGACUCUGUAGUUCAUCAUUAUGAACUCAGAAACGAGUGUAGUACCUGGUACACAGUAGGCACUCAAGCAAUGCAUGCGAAAUGAAUGAUUGUAAAAUACUGUUUUGCAGACUUGCUUUUGGUUUUAAAACUAUGAUUACUGACUAUAUUUAUAGUGGACGUAUAAAAGCAAGUUAACAUACUUUUUGUGAUUUUUAAGUCUAUAUGUUGACAAUUAUGUAAAUUUAUUUAAUUUGCCAAAUCUCAUUUGCAAAACAAAAUGAUUUGGAUUUCAACAGAAGAUGUAAUACAUAUACUAAUGUCUUUAUCCUCAGUGAAAAAAUUCUUUACCAGAUGAUUAUACAGCUCUUCCAGAAUAUUGUGUUUAUUUUCUUAUUCAUGCAGAGGAAUGCUUUUAUAUCAGUUUUGGCAUGUAAAUAGUUUUAUUUUUAAAUAAUCAGUAUAGUUACAGCCUCUAACCUCCCACAUAGUUCAGCAAAAUGCUACAAAUAUGUUACACACUCUCCAAUUUUCAGUCUAAGAACUCAUUAACUUUCAGUGAGACUAUGGAUUCCCUCCAGCAAGUAGAUUAAUAAGGUGAGUAUGAUGAAGAAAAAUUUUUAUGUAAAUUAUCUUAAUCAUUCUAAGAAUUCAAAAGGAUGAAUUAUAAUAGAGUGAUGACCAGGAAUGUCUUUGAUUUCUGGAUUCCUGGACCACAGCAGUAUUACAAAUUGGUUGCAGCUUCUCCACUGCUUCUUACCCCUUCCUUUCUACCACUUCACCCCAACAAGAGAAUUCAAUAGUCAACCACUGGUGUUUGGGGAAUAUAUUUGGGGAAAAGAAACAAGAAGUUGUUUUUUUUUUUUUUAAUUUUAGGUUGAAAGUAACUUCUCAGUUCUAGGAAAAUUUAUAGCUUUGGAGCUAGUUUGGGGAUAGAAGCAUUCAUUUCUCCAUCAGACUACCAGUCACUAGAACAAAGACAUGUUCCCCUGAUACCAUUGGUCCUUUCCCCCAUCUCACGCCCCCACCAGCCAAGAACACUCCCUAAGAAAUUUCUUUUCCUGUGCUCUUUUAUUCACCACAAGUGAAUUUUCAUCCCAAGACACACAAGAGCACACCAGGAAAUCUCCUGGUCCUGCAUUGCAACACGUGUAUGUGUCCACUUCCUUCCCCGAAUUUUAAAAUAAUCCCUUCCACCUUUAUUCCUCAUCUUUGACCAACAAAGUGAGAGACACAGCCAACUCCCUUCUCCACAGAGCAUGACUCAUGCCUUUCAUGGCUGGGAACUUACCCGGAACAGACACAGAAUGUGAUAGAUCUUACAGAUGAUUUUUUAUAAGUACAUGAGUGGUCUCCACACAAGUUAGGAAAGUUGCUGGAAAUCUGAGGAGGUUUUCAGGAUACCUGAAAGCCAGAGUCCACUUAGCCAUUGUUUGAAGAAAACAAUUUCAGGCAUUUCAAAGGAAGAGAUCUCUCAGACAACUGGCUGUUCCUGCUUCAAACCAGCUCCCAUCCUCCCCACCCACCACCCCAUCAGAGGGCCAUUAGAAUGCUGUUGGAAAUGGUGGUGGUUUUUCAGCAAAUACCAGGUUCUCCCACUUCAAAGAACAGUCAGCAGAGCGGUGAGUUAUUGCUUCUUCCUGGGGAGUUCUCCUUGCCAGAGUGUAAGAGACAUUGCCGUCUUUCCCUCUUCUUCCCAGGCAGAGGGGGAGGAUUUUUUUCAGAACUAGCCCAAAGAGAAUUCCUUGUGCAGAGCACUUAAAGCAAGGUUUCGGAAGCUCUCAGAUCUACUACUUUGUUUUAUGGUUGGAGAGGAGGGAAAGUGGGAAUUGUGGGGGAGUGGCGAAUUCAGUGCUUUUAAAAGACAGAGCACACAUUUUCUCCCCCACAGGAAGGGGGGUGGAGAAGCAGCCUCUUGAUGACCUUGGUGGCUGGGUCCUGGAGGAAGAGGGAGCUGUUCCAUCUAGUUCCAAGAAGAGGACCAUGAAACUCUGCUCACUUACUCCCAGCCAGUCUUUCAUUACCACUCUGUGCUCAUAGAAAAGGAGAACUCAGGAGUUCCCGUUGUGGCGCAGUGGUUAACGAAUCCGACUAGGAACCAUGAGGUUGCGGGUUCGGUCCCUGCCCUUGCUCGGUGGGUUAACAAUCCGGCGUUGCCGUGAGCUGUGGUGUAGGUUGCAGACGCGGCUCAGAUCCCGCGUUGCUGUGGCUCUGGCGUAGGCCAGUGGCUACAGCUCCGAUUCGCCCCCUAGCCUGGGAACCUCCAUAUGCUGCGGGAGCGGCCCAAGAAAUAG
rnacentral:lncRNA from 1 species